CAGCAGUAGCCGCGGUAAAACGUAGGUGGCAAGCGUUGUCCGGAAUUAUUGGGCGUAAAGGGCUCGCAGGCGGUUUCUUAAGUCUGAUGUGAAAGCCCCCGGCUCAACCGGGGAGGGUCAUUGGAAACUGGGAAACUUGAGUGCAGAAGAGGAGAGUAGAAUUCCACGUGUAGCGGUGAAAUGCGUAGAGAUGUGGAGGAACACCAGUGGCGAAGGCGACUCUCAGGUCUGUAACUGACGCUGAGGAGCGAAAGCGUGGGGAGCGAACAGGAUUAGAUACCCGUGUAGUCCCUGUCUCUUAUAC
rnacentral:rRNA from 1 species